GAUGAACGCUGGCGGCGUGCCUAAUACAUGCAAGUCGAGCGAACAGACGAGGAGCUUGCUCCUCUGACGUUAGCGGCGGACGGGUGAGUAACACGUGGAUAACCUACCUAUAAGACUGGGAUAACUUCGGGAAACCGGAGCUAAUACCGGAUAACAUGUUGAACCGCAUGGUUCAACAGUGAAAGACGGUUUUGCUGCCACUUAUAGAUGGAUCCGCGCCGCAUUAGCUAGUUGGUAAGGUAAUGGCUUACCAAGGCAACGAUGCGUAGCCGACCUGAGAGGGUGAUCGGCCACACUGGAACUGAGACACGGUCCAGACUCCUACGGGAGGCAGCAGUAGGGAAUCUUCCGCAAUGGGCGAAAGCCUGACGGAGCAACGCCGCGUGAGUGAAGAAGGUCUUCGGAUCGUAAAACUCUGUUAUUAGGGAAGAACAAAUGUGUAAGUAACUAUGCACGUCUUGACGGUACCUAAUCAGAAAGCCACGGCUAACUACGUG
rnacentral:rRNA from 1 species